UGCGUGGGCCCAAUUUCGGCUUUCACUGACACCACUGUGCCUUAAUGCCUUUAACUCAGGGGAGCUGCUUCGGUUCGCCAGGCCUCCACACGCACACGUCAGCAGUUCUCCACUUCAUGACAGAGGUACAACUGAUGUAUGACUGAAUGGAUCAAAAAAUGUCUUCAUUUUCUGCCUUGUGAAUCACCAGUACAGAGAAAUAAAGCAGAACACCACUGCGUGGUAGUCAUAGAAACCACAGUUAUCAAUGUAAAGAUCUGCAAACCUGCCUGUGUUGACUGUAACAGAAAAACAUAAUCCUUGAGGCAAGAGCGAGUUUGUUCAGAACGGGUCCGGGGAGCGGAGGUGCAGUGCCGGAGCAGACGAUGGGUGAGAUAAGGCUCUCGCCAGGAGAGGUUCUAGACGGGGCCACGGGGAAGAUUACAUUAAUCCAUGUUCCACUCACAGACCCCGCUGGCCUUCAAAAGGUAUGCUUGAGCGGAGGAGAUGAAAAUAUUCCUGGCGUUGGAUCUGUUAAGAGGCUCUUCAUAAAAUGUCACUGAGCUGGUUUAGAGAAAAUGGAUCUGCUUCCUUUCAUCUGUGUGGAGGAUUUUGCAGUUGUUGUGGAGUCAACGGGGUUUGCGAGCUUGCUAAUGGCAGGAAGAAAGGUCCUAAAGUGGCAGAAGUAUGCAGCAAAAUGUGCGGACACGGCUAUGCUUCCAGCCCACAUACUGGUCCUGAGGUUUAAUUUUCCACGAUGGAAGUCAUUCAAAAAGGCUGGCCAGCAAAAACGCACAGAAAAAGCAGGACACUCCACCAGCUGCUGUCCUCCAUAUCACAUACCUUUUCCAUCAUAAAACAAA